UACGUAGGGUGCAAGCGUUAAUCGGAAUUACUGGGCGUAAAGCGUGCGCAGGCGGUUGUGCAAGACAGAUGUGAAAUCCCCGGGCUCAACCUGGGAAUUGCAUUUGUGACUGCACGGCUAGAGUGUGUCAGAGGGGGGUAGAAUUCCACGUGUAGCAGUGAAAUGCGUAGAGAUGUGGAGGAAUACCGAUGGCGAAGGCAGCCCCCUGGGAUAACACUGACGCUCAUGCCACGAAAGCGUGGGGAGCAAACAGG
rnacentral:rRNA from 1 species